rnacentral:rRNA from 1 species
GCUUUUACGGUAUGAAAAUUGGUGAUUUAUAAUAACUUAGCAAAUCGCAUAGUGAAAACAGGCGAUAAAUCAUUCAGGUUUCUGACCUAUCAGCUUUCGACGGUAUGGUAUUGGCUUACCGUGGCAGUGACGGUUAACGGGGGAUUAGGGUUCGAUUCCGGAGAGGGAGCCUGAGAAACGGCUACCACAUCUAAGGAAGGCAGCAGGCGCGCAAAUUACCCAAUUCUAACAGUUUGAGAGAGGUAGUAACAAGAAAUAACAAUACAAGGCAGUUAAAAUGCUUUGUAAUUGGAAUGAUAGAAAUUUAAACCCUUUUUAAAGUAUCAAUUGGAGGGCAAGUCUGGUGCCAGCAGCCGCGGUAAUUCCAGCUCCAAUAGCGUAUAUUAAAAUUGUUGCAGUUAAAAAGCUCGUAGUUGAAGUUCUGCUAAAAGUAACCGGUCUGCUUUGAAUAAAAGUGGUAUCUUGGUAUGUAUUUAGCAAUGAUGUCCUUUGAAGUGUUUUUUAAUUUAUUGUAAUAAAGCAUAUUCAGGACUUUUACUUUGAGAAAAUUAAGUGUUUCUAGCAGGCCAACGCUUUUGAAUACUGCAGCAUGGAAUAAUAAGA